rfam:Triticum aestivum genome assembly, contig: Triticum_aestivum_CS42_TGACv1_scaffold_289882_4AL
UCCAUUGCUCAGUUGGUAAAGCACAAAGCUAUUAACCUUGUGGACAUGGGUUCAAGCCCUAUGAUGGAA